AGCAGCCGCGGUAAUUCCAGCUCCAAUAGCGUAUAUUAAAGUUGUUGCAGUUAAAAAGCUCGUAGUUGAAUUUCGAGACCGGCUUACUGGUCGUGCUAUUGUACGUACUGGUAUAAUCGGUUUCUCCUUUCUGACGAACUAUAAUGCCAUUAAUUUGGUGUUUUAGGGAAUCAGGACUGUUACUUUGAAAAAAUUAGAGUGUUUAAAGCAGGCUCACGCUUGAAUACAUUAGCAUGGAAUAACGGAAUAGGACGUUUGAUUCUAUUUUGUUGGUUUCUAGGAUCGACGUAAUGAUUAAUAGGGAUAGUUGGGGGCAUUAGUAUUCAAUUGUCAGAGGUGAAAUUCUUGGAUUUAUUGAAGACUAACUACUGCGAAAGCAUUUGCCAAGGAUGUUUUCAUUAAUCAAGAACGAAAGUUAGGGGAUCGAAGACGAUCAGAUACUGUCGUAGUCUUAACCAUAAACUAUGCCGACUAGGGAUCGGAUGAUGUUAAUUUUUAAUGACUCAUUCGGCGCCUUACG
rnacentral:rRNA from 1 species